rnacentral:lncRNA from 1 species
UUCUUCCGCCAGCGCCCAUCGUGAAGACCACAGUUUCCUGUCGCGUGGAUGUGUUUCCUCUCUGGCCAUUGCCAUCCGCCCAAAUCUACAGACAUCCCGCAUGUUCCCGGGCUCGUCUCCCCAAUACAGGGCACCAAGGCUGUAGACUGCGCAGCCCUCCUGGAGACAGAUGGAAGCUCCUUGGGUCGACAGAUUACAGCUUCUGGAACCCCCUACUCCCUUCAACUCCGAGAUGGACACCCACUGUCCAGGGAGAGGAUGCCUGGGUAAGUGCUCUGCUAUUCGGGAGCAACUUGAAGCCCGGGUGCCUGUAAUUGGCCUUCCCAUGGGUACCAGCAGAGGGGUGGUGUGGAGUUCUGAUUACUACUUUUGAGGAGGUCGACAAAGCCACUGUGCAGAGAGAAGCUCGGUGAGGGCUCGAAAUAACCAAGGGCAAGAUUCUGGGGACAGUUCUGUUCCAUGUUGCAUAGUGGGGAUUACAGAGGAAAGGGGGGGGUGUCUAUGCUCCGUGGUUUGCUACCUGGCAGCUUUUGUGUUUGGGAUUCUGGGUGCUUUCCCAGGUAACUGGGUGCUGUUCAUGUGGCUCACCUGGGCUUAUUGUAUUUGCAGAAAUAACAGCUGGGAUCUACAGUGGCCAAAGAGUUGUCUCCGUCUUGCUACAUCGACAAACUGGUGCUCCUGAGUGAGGAUUGUGCCCUGGGAUGGGGGAUUCAGUUUCUUCAUUUAUAGUUGGAAGUGGGUGAAGCCACUUCGGAAGCGUUUUCCUCUCCACUCUGACAACAGGCAAGAGUGAGGGUCCAACAAUACAGAGGAAGUAACGUGUCGCUGCUACUCUUCCAUGCCCAGUGCCAGGAGCGACGGUACACUCCAGAGUGCUGUGCCCUGAUGGGCCUUUGAGUGGCCAGUGCAGUGGAUCAUCAGCCCUGUCUCCCAAGAGCUCCAGUCCCUUCUCCGGAGAGGAAGUGGGUCCACUGGCAGCUCAGGAGGCCAUAGCAGGAUUGUCACGUGUGCUCAACAGUCCUCCUCGGCUUUCCAGAAGAGGCUGGAACAGGGCCCUUGAAGAUGUUUGUGGACAUCAGAGGGCCAAAGACGACACAAAGUGAAACUGGAGACACCGCCCCCCCUUGGCAUCAUGAAACUGCCGAUGUUACUGGCUCAUGCAUGGGAGACACCAGCAUACAAAGUCUUGACACCAACACCUCAGAGGGCUGUGUUCUGUCCCCGUGACCAUCAUCUAGUGCCUGGAAAGACUAGUGACAAGAACUUGUUGCCAACUUCCUAUUACCUCCCUAACAGUUGUGCAAUAAACCCCAUAGGUUAAUUCA